AGAGGUGAUGACGUUAGUUUAUGAUAAGCCCCGGCUAAUUACGUGCCAGCAGCCGCGGUAAUACGUAAGGGGCGAGCGUUGUUCGGGAUCAUUGGGCGUAAAGGGUGAGUAGGCGGAUAUGUAAGUCUAUGUGUAAAAUACCACAGCUCAACUGUGGAACUAUGCUAGAAACUGCAUGACUAGAGUCUGAUAGGGGAAGUUAGAAUUCCUGGUGUAAGGGUGGAAUCUGUUGAUAUCAGGAAGAAUACCAGAGGCGAAGGCGAACUUCUAGGUCAAGACUGACGCUGAGUCACGAAAGCA
rnacentral:rRNA from 1 species